ACGGAAAAGCGGUACUGUGGGCGAUACCGAGAUUCCUCGAUGGUAUGCGGUCGUUAUCGUCACCAGGAUAUAGGGAAUAAGUGGUGAAAUUUGACGAGCUGUGUCGAUAGGAUUGUCUUUGUUCGGGGAACGGAAAAGCGGUACUGUGGACGAUACCGAGAUUCCUCGAUGGUAUGCGGUCGUUAUCGUCACCAGGAUAUAGGUACGAAAAGGGAGCCGGUUCUCCAAACUUAUUUAUCUGCAUGUGGGACCAAAAUUAGAAAUAACAUUCAGUUUAAAAUGUGGCUGAAAAGUUCAGGUUGAAACGCACAUAAUAUGUAUAAAAUAUAAAGAUAGCAAACUUAUAUAAGUACAAUCACGCAUUAUGUACAAACACGCACACACACACACACACACACACACACACACACACACACACACACACACACACACACACACACACACACACACACACACACACACACA